rnacentral:rRNA from 1 species
GACGAACGCUGGCGGCGGGCUUAACACAUGCAAGUCGAACGGAAAGGCCCUGCUUGUGUGGGGUGCUCGAGUGGCGAACGGGUGAGUAACACGUAAGUAACCUGCCCCUGACUUUCGGAUAACUUCAGGAAACUGGGGCUAAUACCGGAUAGGAGCUCCUGCUGCAUGGUGGGGGUUGGAAAGAUUCGGCGGUUGGGGAUGGACUCGCGGCUUAUCAGCUUGUUGGUGGGGUAGUGGCUUACCAAGGCUUUGACGGGUAGCUGGCCUGAGAGGGUGACCGGCCACAUUGGCACUGAGAUACGGCCCAGACUCCUACGGGAGGCAGCAGUGGGGAAUAUUGCACAAUGGGCGGAAGUCUGAUGCAGCAACGCCGCGUGCGGGAUGAUGGCCUUCGGGUUGUAAACCGCUUUCGCCUGUGCCGAAGCGUGAGUGACGGUAAUGGGUAAAGAAGCACCGGCUAACUACGUG